GAUGAACGCUGGCGGCGUGCCUAAUACAUGCAAGUCGAGCGAACAGACGAGGAGCUUGCUCCUCUGACGUUAGCGGCGGACGGGUGAGUAACACGUGGAUAACCUACCUAUAAGACUGGGAUAACUUCGGGAAACCGGAGCUAAUACCGGAUAAUAUAUUGAACCGCAUGGUUCAAUAGUGAAAGACGGUUUUGCUGUCACUUAUAGAUGGAUCCGCGCCGCAUUAGCUAGUUGGUAAGGUAACGGCUUACCAAGGCGACGAUGCGUAGCCGACCGGAGAGGGUAGUCGGCCACACUGGAACUGAGACACGGUCCAGACUCCUACGGGAGGCAGCAGUAGGGAAUCUUCCGCAAUGGGCGAAAGCCUGACGGAGCAACGCCGCGUGAGUGAUGAAGGUCUUCGGAUCGUAAAACUCUGUUAUUAGGGAAGAACAAAUGUGUAAGUAACUAUGCACGUCUUGACGGUACCUAAUCAGAAAGCCACGGCUAACUACGUG
rnacentral:rRNA from 1 species